UACGGUAGGGUGCGAGCGUUGUCCGGAAUUAUUGGGCGUAAAGAGCUCGUAGGCGGCUUGUCGCGUCGGAUGUGAAAGCCCGGGGCUUAACCCCGGGUCUGCAUUCGAUACGGGCAGGCUAGAGUUCGGUAGGGGAGAUCGGAAUUCCUGGUGUAGCGGUGAAAUGCGCAGAUAUCAGGAGGAACACCGGUGGCGAAGGCGGAUCUCUGGGCCGAUACUGACGCUGAGGAGCGAAAGCGUGGGGAGCGAACAGG
rnacentral:rRNA from 1 species